CCGCGGGGACGACCCCGCCGCAGCAAGGGAGCCAGGCAGGGACGGCCCUG
rnacentral:ncRNA from 1 species